AGAGUUUGAUCAUGGCUCAGAGCGAACGCUGGCGGCAUGCUUAACACAUGCAAGUCGCACGGGCAGGGUAACCUGUCAGUGGCGGACGGGUGAGUAACGCGUAGGAAUCUAUCUCUGGGUGGGGGACAACCGUGGGAAACUACGGCUAAUACCGCAUGAUACCUGAGGGUCAAAGGCGAAAGUCGCCUGGAGAGGAGCCUGCGUCCGAUUAGCUAGUUGGUGGGGUAAAGGCCUACCAAGGCUCCGAUCGGUAGCUGGUCUGAGAGGAUGAUCAGCCACACUGGGACUGAGACACGGCCCAGACUCCUACGGGAGGCAGCAGUGGGGAAUAUUGGACAAUGGGCGAAAGCCUGAUCCAGCAAUGCCGCGUGGGUGAAGAAGGUCUUCGGAUUGUAAAGCCCUUUCGACGGGGACGAUGAUGACGGUACCCGUAGAAGAAGCCCCGGCUAACUUCGUGCCAGCAGCCGCGGUAAUACGAAGGGGGCUAGCGUUGCUCGGAAUGACUGGGCGUAAAGGGCGCGUAGGCGGUUCGUACAGUUGGAUGUGAAAUUCCUGGGCUCAACCUGGGGGCUGCAUUCAAUACGUACGAGCUUGAGUUCGGAAGAGGGUCGUGGAAUUCCCAGUGUAGAGGUGAAAUUCGUAGAUAUUGGGAAGAACACCGGUGGCGAAGGCGGCGACCUGGUCCGAUACUGACGCUGAGGCGCGAAAGCGUGGGGAGCAAACAGGAUUAGAUACCCCGGUAGUCC
rnacentral:rRNA from 1 species